rnacentral:lncRNA from 1 species
CGUUCAGUCUGAGGCAAGCCAGGGCAAUCCAGGCAGCAUCAGCUUCUGUUAUUUGUGAAAUGAAGAUCAUCCCUUUCUCUGAAAAUCAGUCUUUAACUGCUAGCAACACACAGAUCUAAGAUUAAACUUCUGCAAAGUCCUGAUUAACCAGUACCAGAUAGUGGGAGCUGGAAGAAUCACUGAAGAAAUGGUAAAAAAGAAAAGGGAGGGCAGAAAUUAUUCCCAUAUUUCUUUAGAAUCUGGA